UCCAACAGCUGAGGGAGCGAAAGGUCCCGCCUUUUGGUAUACUAGCAACAGACUUUGGGUACGCAAAAGCAUAUCUGUAACUCCACCUGGGACAUAUGGGUUCCCCCUAAGGGUGUGGGAGGUAUGGGUUCCCGAACAAGGUUCAGGAAUGGUUCUAGGAUCUUACUCUAGGGGUAAAGCACCGGAUCAACAACAGUUGUCUGUGCCGAUUGGUCGAUUUAGAGACCAAGAAGAUGGACACAGAGCUAAUGAAGGCGAUCAUUGAGAGGUGGUGGCCGAGUACGCAUUCUUUCAAUCUUCCCGUAGGUAAGAUCACCAUCAGCCCUUUGUGCUUUUAUGCCCUGACUGGAGUCCCAUUUAGAGAGAGACUCGUUACCAUACCCGACCCCCUGGAUUCAAAUGGUUUUAUGAGUUGACUGAUGUUUAGACUACCCAUAAGAUGAUUCCCUUAGCAGACAUCUAUGAUGCUUGGUGGGUUGUCUCCUAUAAAGUUCUAGACCCUAUCCAGUUAUACCGCUCCUUCCUCCUAUUGGCAAUGGGGCAAUGCCUGUUCAGCAACUUCAGGGGCAUGAUCGAUAUUUGCUUAGCGUUUCUGUUCGCCAACAUAGAGGAGAUUGAGUACUAUGAGUACGGAGGAGUAGCAUAUGCAUAUCUGUUGUGGACACUGGAUCACUUGGCUAUGGGGAUCGUCGUCUCUGUGGCACUGCUUACAUCAUCCAGCUGGCACAUGAUGGAGGGAUACCUAUGUAUUGAAGGGGCGAUCCAUCAUUCCCAUGGGAUCCACUACCUGCUCUCUUCUGAAUAGUGUAGUAGAGGAAAGUCUUGUUCACUCUUCUAGUUUUAUCAUCUUCUUUGCACUAUAUUCACAUUCUUGCUUAUGCAGGUCGACUGGAGGCCCUUUUUGAGGACUGAGUAUCCUGAUGCUGUGCAACUAGAUCGAGCUAUAGCCUAGACUCGAAUGAGAGUGCUAUUUCGAGGUCUCAAGGGUCGGGCCUGGUACUUGGGGGAGUGGUUCACUGCCCAGUGGCUGAAUGUCGGGCGAUGCAUCAUUCCUUGCCUUCCUCCUCCUACCAUGCAUCAUCUGGAGGACAUUACCAAUGGUGAGGCUAAGUAGUUAGCAGAGGGAUUUUGGGAUGAUGACUUCCUAGACAUGGAGGGAGACGGUCUAUGUCCCUCUGGCUUCUCAAAGUACCGUGUAUCGGACAUGCCCUAUGGUUCCUCUGCCCUCUCAGCCAUUGCCGGGCACAACCAGGACCUCUAUUGCCGAGUCAUCAUCUGCCACGGGUAGGCCUUCACAUCAUAUGGCUACCUUGCCAUUCCUAGGGUUUCCAAGUUGGUUCUAUGCUGAUGGGGCCAACCCUGCAAUUUUGAGAGUGCUGGAAAUGACCUUGGAGCACGACGCAUCUCUCAGACUCCCCAUCCAUUACAACUGUAGACUUAUGAUGAGAUCCACCAUAUGGACCAAGGAGGCAUAUGUGGCCGAGCUACAAAGGGAGGUGAUAGAUCAAUGGAUUCAGUUAGGCGUGGAGGUGACUGACGAUGUGAUGGUUGAGGUGGACAACCUUGAUACCUCUGAUGAUGACGCCCAGUCUUAGGGCUCCCUUCCUUUCCUCUUCAUACAUACUUUGCGAACCACAGCGACUCGAAAACACUGGAUUAGUAAUUUGGGAAUUUUUUGUUUUCUUCUCUCUUUUUUUCUUCUUCUUUGUUGUCAAACUUCUUACUUGAAUAUGAAUGUGAAUUUAAU